rnacentral:rRNA from 1 species
UAGGGAAUCUUCGGCAAUGGGGGGAACCCUGACCGAGCAACGCCGCGUGAGUGAAGAAGGUUUUCGGAUCGUAAAGCUCUGUUGUUAAGGAAGAACGAGUGUGAGAAUGGAAAGUUCAUGCUGUGACGGUACUUAACCAGAAAGGGACGGCUAACUACGUGCCAGCAGCCGCGGUAAUACGUAGGUCCCUAGCGUUGUCCGGAUUUAUUGGGCGUAAAGCGAGCGCAGGCGGUUAGAAAAGUCUGAAGUGAAAGGCAGUGGCUCAACCAUUGUAGGCUUUGGAAACUGUUUAACUUGAGUGCAGAAGGGGAGAGUGGAAUUCCAUGUGUAGCGGUGAAAUGCGUAGAUAUAUGGAGGAACACCGGUGGCGAAAGCGGCUCUCUGGUCUGUAACUGACGCUGAGGCUCGAAAGCGUGGGGAGCGAACAGG